rnacentral:lncRNA from 1 species
CGGCACGACCAGACCCCCACCGGCCCGACCAGACCCCCACCGGCCCGACCAGACCCCCACCAGCACGACCAGACCCCCACCAGCAUGACCACAGCCGUGUCUCUGAUGUCACUGAAUCUACGAGGAGACAGGAGCACAGAACCCACCUCAGAACCAGAGAGCAGAAUCUAAAGCAGCCAGAAGAGUCUCAGCAGCACCAAAACACUCCUGCACACUCGGCGCUGUCCAGAGGGAGUUGUGAGCAGGGAGGGAGGGAAGGGCUGAGAGAGGCUGAGGGGGAGGGAGGAAGGCUGGGGGGGGCGGGGAGGAGGAGGAGAGCCUGACUAAUGAAGUGGUUACGCUUCACUAAGCCCCCCCAGCCUACAAUCCUGCCAUGGCGGGACCCUCUUACAAAGCCUCGAUUGUUUUGUUAGCUUGCCACUCUCUCUCCACACACACACACACACACACACACACACACACACACGGCAAUACUAUUAUUGCCUUGUGAGGUGGGGGUCGUGACCCCACCACUUCCUUUUCACCCCCCCACCUUCCCAGUUGAUUCCCAGGAUCGUCCCGUUUAGGUUGGGUCCUGUUGGAGGCCUCAGGAGGGGCAGGUCUCUUCAGAAUGGGGGGGGGGCUGAGACCCCUGCUGCAUGGAAACGUCCACUCAUGAGGGUCCGUUAACGUCCGAGAUCCCAUUGGUGUCUUCGGGAGCCGGCUGGUUCCACGAAGGUUCACGACCCGGCGAUGCUGGACCAGAACAUCGGUUCAGGUUCAACCCGGAACAGGAACGUUCUGUCCCCUUUCAGAGGAAACUCCAGAAGGUCACAAAUGGAUCGGAAUCGGAACGAUGACAUUUAGCAGGAACAAACGCAGAAUGGUUCCGAUUCUUCUGAGCCCGCGGGUGUUGGUGACAGAUGGUGCAGGAGGGAAAGGGCAAAUGUUUGGGGCAGGGGUGGGGGGGAGGUGUGUGGGGGGGGGAGAAUACCUUCAAUAUUUUUUUUCUUCUACAAAAUGACACAAUUUAUAUUAUUCCAUACUCUUUCAGCCAGCAAAAUGAGUUCUACAAGGUAUUAUUAUACAAAAAAAUGUCACAGUUCCACAAAAAACUGUUUUUCCCCCGUCCCUAAGCUUUACAGCAUCAGUACCUUUGCAGAAUUAUUUACAGGUUUUUAAGUACAUUCAUCCACUGCUGAGUAUAGAAUCACAUUAGAUACAAGUGACAGGGAUCAUAAAAAAAACAAAAACAUACUAUUUUAUUCAAUCCUACCAAAGUAAUGCUUCUAUUACUCCACAGAGCAAGUUCUCCAGUGGCUGCAUCGGCAUGAAAGAGAUCUUCUUUAUAUAUAUAUAUAUUCACAACAUAUUUACAGGAUUCUUUUCAUUAACUGUAAUGGUAUCAUUUCAAUAAUAAAUAAGUGAAAAUAUAUUGACUCAAGUAAGAAAACCAAGCUACCAAAAUUCUAAAGAAAACAAACUAAUUUCUCUGCGUCAGUCGCCGGCCGAGUUCUCCCCCGCGGCGUCCGUCUACUAGCCCCGCCCCUUUCCAGCUCACCCAGGUGCGUCGGUGGGCCGCCGCCCGCGUCCGUCGGUGGGACCGAGAGGAACAACAGCCAGUCGUGAAUGAAAUGUGCUCGUGGCGGGGGUUCGUGGGUUGAGGCCCCCGGGGAAGCGGAGAGCUCCCCCUGGUGGCGGCUGGUGGAAGACCCCGUGGCAGUUUCUGUUUGUGAGGGAGGAUUUGAACACAAGUCGUAGAGGAGGUGCUGGGGGGGGGGGUUAAGGUGCCCGGCGCAGCUGAGGGACGAUCUCCGUUCACGAGCUGGUCGCCUCUGGACCUGUGGACCUGCUACGACUCGCCGGCGGCCUCCUGCUCU